UUCUUUAUUGAUUUUUAUAUAAGGUAUAACCUGCUCAAUGAUUUUUAAAUAGCCGCGAUUUUAUCGUGCUAAGGUAGCAUAAUAAUUUGUCUUUUAAUUAAGGUCCAGAAUGAAUGGUUGAACGAGAAACUAACUUUUUUAAUUAAAUUUUUAUGAAUUUUAUUUUUUAGUAAAAAAGCUAAAAUUUAUUUAUGUGACGAUAAGACCCUAUAAAAUUUUAUUUUCAUAUUUUUAUUUAUUAACUGGUUAAUAUAAUUUUUUAACUAUUUUGGAAAUUUGGUUGGGGCGAUUAUUUUAUUUUUUUAACUUUAAUUUUUACAAUUCAUUAAUUUGUGAAUUAUUGAUCCUAAAUUUUAGAUUAAAAGAAUAAAUUACUUUAGGGAUAACAGCGUAAUUUUCUUGGAGAGUUCUUAUUAAUAAGAAAGAUUGCG
rnacentral:rRNA from 1 species